AUUCCCCUAGUAACUGCGAGUGAAGCGGGAAAAGCUCAAAUUUAAAAUCUGGUGGUCUUUGGCCAUCCGAGUUGUAAUUUAGAGAAGCGUCUUCCGCGCUGGACCGUGCACAAGUCUCCUGGAAUGGAGCGUCACAGAGGGUGAGAAUCCCGUCUUUGGCACGGACACACCAGGGCUUUUGUGAUGCGCUCUCGAAGAGUCGAGUUGUUUGGGAAUGCAGCUCAAAAUGGGUGGUGAACUCCAUCUAAAGCUAAAUAUUGGCGAGAGACCGAUAGCGAACAAGUACCGUGAGGGAAAGAUGAAAAGCACUUUGGAAAGAGAGUGAAACAGUACGUGAAAUUGUUGAAAGGGAAACGCUUGAAGUCAGUCGCGUCGACCGAGACUCAGCCUUGCCUCGGCUCGGUGUACUUCUCGGCCGACGGGUCAGCAUCAAUUUCGCCCCUUGGAUAAUGGCGAGGGAAAUGUGACACCUUUACGGUGUGUUAUAGUCUCUUGUCGCAUGCAAGGGUUGGGAUUGAGGAACUCAGCACGCACCUUUGGGUGUCGGGGUUUUGCCCACGAUACGUGCUUAGGAUGUUGGCGUAAUGGCUUUAAACGACCCGUCUUGAAACACGGACCAAGGAGUCUAACAUGCCUGCGAGUGUUCGGGUGGAAAACCCGUGCGCGCAAUGAAAGUGAAAGUUGGGACCUCUGUCGUGGAGGGCACCGACGCCCGGACCAGACCUUCUGUGACGGCUCUGCGGUAGAGCAUGUAUGUUAGGACCCGAAAGAUGGUGAACUAUGCCUGAAUAGGGUGAAGCCAGAGGAAACUCUGGUGGAGGCUCGUAGCGAUUCUGACGUGCAAAUCGAUCGUCAAAUUUGGGUAUAGGGGCGAAAGAC
rnacentral:rRNA from 1 species